rnacentral:rRNA from 1 species
UGGGGAAUAUUGCACAAUGGGCGCAAGGCCUGAUGCAGCCAUGCCGCGUGUGUGAAGAAGGCCUUCGGGUUGUAAAGCACUUUCAGCGAGGAGGAAGGUGGUGAACUUAAUACGUUCAUCAAUUGACGUUACUCGCAGAAGAAGCACCGGCUAACUCCGUGCCAGCAGCCGCGGUAAUACGGAGGGUGCAAGCGUUAAUCGGAAUUACUGGGCGUAAAGCGCACGCAGGCGGUUUGUUAAGUCAGAUGUGAAAUCCCCGGGCUCAACCUGGGAACUGCAUUUGAAACUGGCAAGCUAGAGUCUCGUAGAGGGGGGCUAGAAUUCCAGGUGUAGCGGUGAAAUGCGUAGAGAUCUGGAGGAAUACCGGUGGCGAAGGCGGCCCCCCUGGANGAAGACUGACGCUCAGGUGCG